rnacentral:rRNA from 1 species
GACAGAGGUGCCAAGCGUUAGGCGGAAUCACUGGGCUUAAAGCGUGUGUAGGCGGGUGCCUAAGUACCUUGUGAAAUCCCACGGCUCAACCGUGGAACUGCUGGGUAUACUGGGUGCCUGGGGUCAUCUAGGGGCUGCCGGAACAAAUGGUGGAGCGGUGAAAUGCGUAGAUAUCAUUUGGAACGCCAACGGCGAAAGCAGGCAGCUGGGGAUGCACCGACGCUGAGACACGAAAGCCAGGGGAGCGAACGGG